rnacentral:rRNA from 1 species
GGAGGCAGCAGUAGGGAAUCUUCCACAAUGGACGAAAGUCUGAUGGAGCAACGCCGCGUGAGUGAAGAAGGGUUUCGGCUCGUAAAGCUCUGUUGGUAGUGAAGAAAGAUAGAGGUAGUAACUGGCCUUUAUUUGACGGUAAUUACUUAGAAAGUCACGGCUAACUACGUGCCAGCAGCCGCGGUAAUACGUAGGUGGCAAGCGUUGUCCGGAUUUAUUGGGCGUAAAGCGAGUGCAGGCGGUUCAAUAAGUCUGAUGUGAAAGCCUUCGGCUCAACCGGAGAAUUGCAUCAGAAACUGUUGAACUUGAGUGCAGAAGAGGAGAGUGGAACUCCAUGUGUAGCGGUGGAAUGCGUAGAUAUAUGGAAGAACACCAGUGGCGAAGGCGGCUCUCUGGUCUGCAACUGACGCUGAGGCUCGAAAGCAUGGGUAGCGAACAGGAUUAGAUACCCUGGUAGUCCAUGCCGUAAACGAUGAGUGCUAAGUGUUGGGAGGUUUCCGCCUCUCAGUGCUGCAGCUAACGCAUUAAGCACUCCGCCUGGGGAGUACGACCGCAAGGUUGAAACUCAAAGGAAUUGACGGGGGCCCGCACAAGCGGUGGAGCAUGUGGUUUAAUUCGAAGCAACGCGAAGAACCUUACCAGGUCUUGACAUCCAGUGCAAACCUAAGAGAUUAGGUGUUCCCUUCGGGGACGCUGAGACAGGUGGUGCAUGGCUGUCGUCAGCUCGUGUCGUGAGAUGUUGGGUUAAGUCCCGCAACGAGCGCAACCCUUGUCAUUAGUUGCCAUCAUUAAGUUGGGCACUCUAAUGAGACUGCCGGUGACAAACCGGAGGAAGGUGGGGAUGACGUCAAGUCAUCAUGCCCCUUAUGACCUGGGCUACACACGUGCUACAAUGGACGGUACAACGAGAAGCGAACCUGCGAAGGCAAGCGGAUCUCUUAAAGCCGUUCUCAGUUCGGACUGUAGGCUGCAACUCGCCUACACGAAGCUGGAAUCGCUAGUAAUCGCGGAUCAGCACGCCGCGGUGAAUACGUUCCCGGGCCUUGUACACACCGCCCGUCACACCAUGAGAGUCUGUAACACCCAAAGCCGGUGGGAUAACCUUUAUAGGAGUCAGCCGUCUAAGGUAGGACAGAUGAUUAGGGUGAAGUCGUAACAAGGUAGCCGUAGGAGAACCUGCGGCUG